UUUUUUUUAGCAUACCGAGGUCCUCUAACGUAUUUUUUCACAAGGAUAUGUAUAAAGGUGGCCGAAACCAGCCAAAACCGACCAAAAAUGACCAGAUCGAUGCAAACCGCCGCCGCAGGCGGUGGUGCCGUCGACGGAGCACAACAGUGCAGUUGUGCCAGGACUUUGAAAUUGGCCGGAAAGGAUUUUUAAUAUCGAUUUUGAAUUUUUUAGGUAUUUUUAAGUACGUUAAGCGUGUUUUAAUCUCUACAAGAAAAUUCAAAAAACUGGAGGAUCACCAGUAGGCGUAGUAGAAAGUUCGGUGUUUUGAACAAGGAUUCGGGUAAGAA
rnacentral:lncRNA from 1 species